rnacentral:rRNA from 1 species
AUGCGAGCGGGAGCUGCGUCCAUGGAUGCAAAGCUACAUCUUCUUAUCCCCCGAUGCCCGCCGGAGCGGCGAGCAGCAACCAUGGAUGGCAGGAGCUGCAACCGCUUCCAUGGGAGCUACAACCUGCGUCCAUGGGAGCUGCGGCGGAAACGCGAGCUGCAACCAUGGAUGGCGGGGAGCUGCAAUCGGCCUCCGGGGGAGCUGCAUAUGGUGAAUAGUGACAUUUUUUCUUUCUUGCUGGUACCGCCGACGAUUUUUGCUGGAACCGGCUACAGAUUUUGCUACAUUCAUUCACGGCCGAGCUGCGUCCCGUGA